UACGGAGGGGGCUAGCGUUGUCCGAAGUUACUGGGCGUAAAGCGCGCGUAGGCGGGUUGGUAAGUCCGCUGUGAAAGCCCGGAGCUUAACUCCGGAGGGUCGGUGGAUACUGCCAGUCUUGAAGGUGCUAGGGGGAGAUGGAAUUACCGGUGUAGCGGUGAAAUGCGUAGAUAUCGGUAGGAACACCAGUGGCGAAGGCGGUCUCCUGGGGCAUUCCUGACGCUGAGACGCGAAAGCUAGGGGAGCGAACAGG
rnacentral:rRNA from 1 species